rnacentral:tRNA from 1 species
CCUUUGAUAGCUCAGCUGGUAGAGCAGAGGACUGUAGAUCCUUAGGUCGCUGGUUUAAUUCCAGCUGGAAGGA